rnacentral:rRNA from 1 species
AUACGUAGGGGACGAGCGUUGUCCGGAAUUACUGGGCGUAAAGGGCGCGCAGGCGGAUAUUUAAGUCAGCUGUAAAAGGCAUGAGCUCAACUCAUGUAUGCGGUUGAAACUGGGUAUCUAGAGUGCUGGAGAGGUAGGCGGAAUUCCUGGGGUAGCGGGGAAAUGCGUAGAUAUCAGGAAGAAUACCAGUGGCGAAGGCGGUUUGCUGGCUGCAUACUGACGCUGAAGCGCGAAAGCCAGGGGAGCGAACGGGAUUAGAUACCCCGGUAGUCCUGGCAGUAAACGAUGUAUGCUGGGUGUGAGACUAGCGAUAGUUUCGUGCCGAAGUUAACGCGAUAAGCAUACCGCCUGGGGAGUACGGUCGCAAGACUGAAACUUAAAGGAAUUGACGGGG